GUGCCGAGGAACGAACCAACAGGGAUUACCUCAGUAACGGCGAGUGAAGCGGUAACAGCUCAAAUUUGAAAUCUGGCCUCACGGUCCGAGUUGUAAUUUGUAGAGGAUGCUUCGAGCAUGGUCUGGCCUAAGUUCCUUGGAACAGGACGUCAUAGAGGGUGAGAAUCCCGUAUGCGGCCAGGUGCCUACGCUCAUGUGAAGCUCCUUCGACGAGUCGAGUUGUUUGGGAAUGCAGCUCAAAUAUUGGCCAGAGACCGAUAGCGCACAAGUAGAGUGAUCGAAAGAUGAAAAGCACUUUGGAAAGAGAGUUAAACAGUACGUGAAAUUGUUGAAAGGGAAGCGCUUGCAACCAGACUUGCGCGCGGCCGAUCAUCCGGUGUUCUCACCGGUGCACUCGGCCGUGCUCAGGCCAGCAUCGGUUUUGGCGGCUGGAUAAAGGCCCUAGGAAUGUAGCUCCUCUCGGGGAGUGUUAUAGCCUAGGGUGCAAUGCAGCCUGCUGGGACCGAGGACCGCGCUUCGGCUAGGAUGCUGGCGUAAUGGUUGUAAGCGGCCCGUCUUGAAACACGGACCAAGGAGUCUAACAUCUAUGCGAGUGUUUGGGUGUCAAACCCAUACGCGUAAUGAAAGUGAACGGAGGUGAGAACCCUUAAGGGUGCAUCAUCGACCGGUCCUGAAGUUUACGGAAGGAUCUGAGUAAGAGCAUAGCUGUUGGGACCCGAAAGAUGGUGAACUAUGCCUGAAUAGGGUGAAGCCAGAGGAAACUCUGGUGGAGGCUCGCAGCGGUUCUGACGU
rnacentral:rRNA from 1 species